rnacentral:rRNA from 1 species
GACAGAGGGUGCAAACGUUGUUCGGAAUUACUGGGCGUAAAGAGCUUGUAGGCGGUUUGUCGCGUCUGCUGUGAAAAUCCGGGGCUCAACCCCGAGCCUGCAGUCGAUACGGGCAGACUAGAGUGCUGUAGGGGAGACUGGAAUUCCUGGUGUAGCGGUGAAAUGCGCAGAUAUCAGGAGGAACACCGGUGGCGAAGGCGGGUCUCUGGGCAGUAACUGACGCUGAGGAGCGAAAGCGUGGGGAGCGAACAGG